AGAGUUUGAUCCUGGCUCAGAUUGAACGCUGGCGGCAGGCCUAACACAUGCAAGUCGAGCGGUAACAGAAAGUAGCUUGCUACUUUGCUGACGAGCGGCGGACGGGUGAGUAAUGCCUAGGGAACUGCCCAGUCGAGGGGGAUAACAGUUGGAAACGACUGCUAAUACCGCAUACGCCCUACGGGGGAAAAGAGGGGAUCUUCGGACCUUCUGCGAUUGGAUGUACCUAGGUGGGAUUAGCUAGUAGGUGAGGUAAUGGCUCACCUAGGCGACGAUCCCUAGCUGUUCUGAGAGGAUGAUCAGCCACACUGGGACUGAGACACGGCCCAGACUCCUACGGGAGGCAGCAGUGGGGAAUAUUGCACAAUGGGCGCAAGCCUGAUGCAGCCAUGCCGCGUGUGUGAAGAAGGCCUUCGGGUUGUAAAGCACUUUCAGCGAGGAGGAAAGGUUAACGGUUAAUACCCGUUAGCUGUGACGUUACUCGCAGAAGAAGCACCGGCUAACUUCGUGCCAGCAGCCGCGGUAAUACGAGGGGUGCAAGCGUUAAUCGGAAUUACUGGGCGUAAAGCGUACGCAGGCGGUUGAUUAAGCGAGAUGUGAAAGCCCCGGGCUUAACCUGGGAACUGCAUUUCGAACUGGUCAACUAGAGUCUUGUAGAGGGGGGUAGAAUUUCAGGUGUAGCGGUGAAAUGCGUAGAGAUCUGAAGGAAUACCGGUGGCGAAGGCGGCCCCCUGGACAAAGACUGACGCUCAGGUACGAAAGCGUGGGGAGCAAACAGGA
rnacentral:rRNA from 1 species